rnacentral:rRNA from 1 species
UACGGGGGGGGCAAGCGUUGUUCGGAAUUACUGGGCGGAAAGGGCUCGUAGGUGGCCAACUAAGUCGGACGUGAAAUCCCUCGGCUUAACCGGGGAACUGCGUCCGAUACUGGUUGGCUUGAGUUUGGGAGAGGGAUGCGGAAUUCCAGGUGUAGCGGUGAAAUGCGUAGAUAUCUGGAGGAACACCGGUGGCGAAGGCGGAUCUCUGGGCCUUACCUGACGCUGAGGCACGAAGGUCAGGGGAGCAAACGGG